UCUUCAUUCUGCCCUUGCUCAUCCUGAUGUUAUUGAUGUAAUGAACCAAUAUCAUGUUUUACAGUUAUAUCCAGGUGGUCUUCAGAUUAUGACAUACAACAGGAGAAUUAUGCCAGUCCCAGUACAAAUCUGUCAACGUCAGAUGUGGCCAAUAUGAUGAUUCAGGCCUUGAAAUAUCCAAAGCAUUUUUAAACAUCAGAAUUCUGAACCAGACGCAAGGAGUUGAGUAGAUACAUAUAUUUUAGGUUUUAUCACAGCCAUGAAUUUAGUAGAUGAAUGCUGGAGAAAUUCUGGAGUGUUUUACAAGAAAAAACAGAACAUUUUCCAUGGAUUUCCAGCUACCUCUGUUUUUGCACUUC
rnacentral:lncRNA from 10 species